ACAGACAAUCAGACACAGACUGACAAGUGAGUGCGUGUGUGUGUAUGUGUGUGUUUGCUCACAGGUCAAAGGUCAGCUGAGGAGGACAGAAAGUCUUGUUAAGAUCCUCGCUAAGCAGCUUGAUUAUCUGGAGGAGUGACUGGGUUUCUUCCUAUUUACUGUCCUCUACUGUCUCUACUGUAACACCAUGACGCUCCAACAGGGGGCAGCAAAGACCAACAGACAGACAGAAAGACAGACUCUCUCCGUCCUGACUGUCUGCUUUCUUUCCUUCUCAGGUUUGCUCUUUUCUUAUUAGAAUACAACUUAUGAUCUUUUAUAGUCUCUUUUACAAAAUUAGUCCAGAGGUGGAAUGUCAAUAAGUACAUUUACUACAGAACUUAAGUACACAUUUGAGGUAUCUGUAUUUUGUAUUUCCAUUUCAUGGCACUUUUUUACUUCUGCUCCACUAUAUUUCUGAGGGAAAUAUUGUACUUUUAACUCCACCAGUUAAUUUGAUAAAAUAACAAAAAAAGGAAAUUUUAAAAUGUAAUUCAUUGCAAAAACUAUCCAGAGGUAUAUCAUUUUAGCUUAAAUGAGUAAUCAAUUAAAUUACAUUUCACAUUUCAUGGUUUUAGCUUCUAAAUUAUGAUGAUUUGCUGUGUUUUCUUUGUCUUGAAUUGUAGUAAACUGAAUCAUUUUGAGAUCUGGACUGUUGGUCAGACUUGAGGAUGCAUGUGAAGGUGUCACUCAUCAGCUCUGUGUAAUCAUGAUGGACAUUUCUCACUGUUUUAAUUCAUAGUGAAAAUAAUAAUUUGUUGCAGCCGAAUAUAAAAUACCAAAUACAACAGUAAAAUGCUGCAUAAUGCCCCGUCUUGUCGUGUUUGACACUGAGCUGUCCGUCCCUCCAUCAGGAUGAAGGCUAGAACAGGAUGUAGGUCAGUGAGUAAAUAGCCUGUUUACUCUGCAGGACAGUGAACGCCACGCUCUCAGUAUAUUUAGUAAAUAGGUUAGUGUGUGCGGUCUCACAGGCCAGGCCGAACCAGGCUAAUCCACUCACUAACUAGUUUGUUUAUUACUGCUCUUUGAGAGGUGGAGCUUUUAGGAUGGCGACGUCAAGAGUGAGACAACACAACCCACAUUAGUGAUGGGUUCAGAUAGCCGACUCCAUUUUGGAUCAGAGUGGUGACUCUUUUCUAAAGAAAUGGUCCGCUGAUCACCUCAUGUCAGUUUAAACCUGCAAUAACUGAUUUUUUCUAACACAAUAUAGACAUAUCAUCACCUUUUAAGUUGAACUUGUCAGCAAACAGUUGCUUAUUUACAGAUCUAGCUGUUACUGAGCAACGUUAUCAUUCAUUUACAGUCGUGUUAGUGCCCAUCUGAUGAAUGUCAGUCUAAUAUUUACUCUCUUUUUAGCUUUGUUUUGGUCUCCACCAACUGCUGAGGGAAAUACCUGUCUCGUUAGCUGAUAAAUGCUCCUUUAUGUUCACCAGUUAGCCGAUAACUGUGUCUGUCUGCUGUUUGGUGCUGAGCAGGUAGUGUACAGUGUGUUUAUCAGAGCUUGUUUGAU